AGAUGAGUUUGAUCCUGGCUCAGGAUGAACGCUAGCGGCAGGCCUAACACAUGCAAGUCGAACGGUAACAGGAAAUAGCUUGCUAUUUUGCUGACGAGUGGCGCACGGGUGCGUAACGCGUAUACAAUCUACCUUUUGCUGAGGGAUAGCCCAGAGAAAUUUGGAUUAAUACCUCAUGGUAUUAUUGAUAGGCAUCUAUUAAUAAUUAAAGGUUACGGCAAAAGAUGAGUAUGCGUCCCAUUAGCUAGUUGGUGAAGUAACGGUUCACCAAGGCAACGAUGGGUAGGGGUCCUGAGAGGGAGAUCCCCCACACUGGUACUGAGACACGGACCAGACUCCUACGGGAGGCAGCAGUGAGGAAUAUUGGACAAUGGGCGAGAGCCUGAUCCAGCCAUGCCGCGUGCAGGAAGACUGCCCUAUGGGUUGUAAACUGCUUUUAUACAGGAAGAAUAAGCCUUACGUGUAAGGUGAUGACGGUACUGUAAGAAUAAGGACCGGCUAACUCCGUGCCAGCAGCCGCGGUAAUACGGAGGGUCCGAGCGUUAUCCGGAAUUAUUGGGUUUAAAGGGUCCGUAGGCGGAUGAUUAAGUCAGGGGUGAAAGUUUGCAGCUCAACUGUAAAAUUGCCUUUGAUACUGGUCAUCUUGAGUUGUAUUGAAGUAGGCGGAAUAUGUAGUGUAGCGGUGAAAUGCAUAGAUAUU
rnacentral:rRNA from 1 species